UGCGGCUUAAUUUGACUCAACACGGGGAAGCUUACCCGGUCCGGACACUUUGACGAUUGACAGAUUGAGAGCUCUUUCUUGAUAAAGUGGUUGGUGGUGCAUGGCCGUUCUUAGUUCGUGGAGUGAUUUGUCUGGUUAAUUCCGAUAACGAACGAGACUCUAGCUUACUAAAUAGUCCGUGCGGCUGCGGCCGACACGGUGUUACUUCUUAGAAGGAUUUAUGGCGGUUCAGUCAUAAGAAAGAGAGCAAUAACAGGUCUGUGAUGCCCUUAGAUGUCCGGGGCCGCACGCGCGCUACACUGGAGCCCACAGUGAGCGUGCUACUUGCGUCGAAAGGCGUGAGGAAUCUCGUAAGCUUCUCCGUAUCUGGGAUUGCGGCAUGUAAUUGUGCCGCGUGAACGCGGAAUCCCGAGUAAGUGCCAAUCAUCAUUUCGCAUUGAUUACGUCCCUGCCCUUUGUACACACCGCCCGUCGCUACUACCGAUUGACUCGUCCAGUGAGGCAUCGGGACGGGCGCGGUGAGCUGUCUUCGGAUGGCGCGCCGUGCCUGAAACUUUGCCAAACUGUCCGAGUUAGAGGAAGUAAAAGUCGUAACAAGUUUCCGUAGGUGAACCUGCGGAAGGAUCAAGCC
rnacentral:rRNA from 1 species